UUUAUAUAAGGAGGAGGAAACAACAAUGUUUGAGACUCACUUUAUGUCAUUUCCAUGUACUGAACUCUUGUUAUUCAAGUAUGCCGAGGUAAAUUCAAUUUUUAAUUCUAGGGCACCUUUAAAGAUGGACAGGCCUGAAGCUACUGGGAGGGUUGAGCUUGAGGGACUUCGGGCUGGCAGCGCCAUUAUAUAACCAACAUAUUUAACUAAAGGAGGGGAGUAAACAGGUUCAUACAUCAUCACCUGAAAUGACGACAUCAACAGAGCUAAGAGUACAUAUAACAAUCAAACCUUCAGCAUCCAUGUAGAAGCGUUCGUCAGUCUAACACCAAGGAUCGAUGAUGAAAAGAGGAAGCGUGAAAACAGAAAGAUGGAUGAACAGCGUCCGACGCCGUAGCCACAGAAAACUCACCUCGGAUUAUGUACACCUGCCCACCUAUCAAGUGCUUUAGACAACAGAACAAACCGUCUGACAACAGGAGAGGAGUGACAGCAAGAGCAGAGGGGAUCGGCAGUCAUCAAGGAGAGAGAGAGAGAAUAUCAACAACAGCAGGAGAAAAAGAGCAGGUCAAAAGGUUUGAAGGUUCAAUGACAUCACAUUAGGUCAGAUGUAAUGUGUUCAUAAAGCACACAGCAUCACUUCAGGUUAAGGGCCAAUGCAUAAGAGAAACAUGCAGCCUUCGUCUCCAUUUUAUAAUGCUGUCUGAAUCUAUGGGCUGAAUAUCGUUUAAUGACAUGGAGUUAUGAGUGCUUUCUGAAGGCAUAAAGCUUAUAUAUUGCGCUCUUUGACUGAAGUGUGACGGAAGCUUUGGGAAGGUUAGGAGGUCAUUUAGGGCAGCGUUUAUCAGAAGGGUAGUAUGACAGAGAAUUACAGAGAGAGAAAGAAAGAAAGAAAGAGGGAGCAUACUGUUACGGGCACCUUUGGGGGUCAAAGGUGAGAGGUGACACGAUUUGAUCCUGCAAACCUUAUAUAAUAUGAUACAGGAAAUACAAAGACAAAUUUGAUGGUGAAGUGAUCUGGAACGGCUAUUCAAAGCAAUCACGUUGAGCAGCUCUUGGACUCACUGGGAGGUUUAUUUGCCGCCAGGUUUUUAAAGUGGCUUCCUUUGAUGACUUCCACAGAGAGUCGUCCUG